GGCUCUUUGAUAAUUAUUGUAUAAAGAGUCGGACCUGCCCAGUGAAAAUUUUUAACGGCCGCGGUACUCUGACCGUGCAAAGGUAGCAUAAUCAUUUGCCUUAUAAUUGAAGGCUUGUAUGAAUGGUUUGACAAGAAUAUAACUGUCUCUAUGUGAUUUUAUAGAAUUUUAUUUUGAAGUGAAGAAGCUUGAAUAGUAUUAAUAGACAAGAAGACCCUAUCGAGCUUGAGAUAAGUUUAUAAGGGUAUUUAAUAUUAAUUAAAAAUUUGUUUAUAGAGUAUUUUGGUUGGGGCGACUUUGGAACAAAAAAAGCUUCCAAAAAUAGUUUAUUUAAAAGCGAAUUGAUCCAAAAAUUUUUGAUUAAUGAAAUUAGUUACCGUAGGGAUAACAGCAUAAUCUUCUUUAAGAGUUCUAAUCGAAAAGAAGGUUUGUGACCUCGAUGUUGGACCAGAAUGUCCUGAAGAUGCAGCAGUCUUUAAGGGUUGGUCUGUUCGACCAUUAAAAUUCUACG
rnacentral:rRNA from 1 species